rnacentral:sRNA from 1 species
UCUCGUAAUUUUUGCGCCAACAGGUCAG